AUUGAACGCUGGCGGCAGGCCUAACACAUGCAAGUCGAGCGAGCGGCGGACGGGUGAGUAAUGUAUGGGGACUGCCCGAUAGAGGGGGAUAACUACUGGAAACGGUGGCUACUACCGCAUACUAUCGGAUAACCCAUAUGGGAUUAUCUAGUAGGUGGGGUAAAGGAUCACCUGGUCGACGAUCUCUAGCUGGUCUGAGAGGAUGAUCAGCCACACUGGGAGUGAGAGAAGGCCCAGCAGCCUACGGAGGCAGCGGUGGGGAAUAUGGCACAGUGGGCGCAAGCCUGAUGGAGCCAUGCAGCGUGAAUGAAGAAGGCCUUAGGGUUGUAAAGUACUUUCAGCGGGGAGGCGUUACCCGCAGAAGAAGCACCGGCUAACUCCGUGCCAGCAGCCGCGGUAAUAC
rnacentral:rRNA from 1 species